AGGGUUUGUAGCUUAGAAUAAAAAUAUGGAGCUUCUAAAUAAGCUUAUUAAAAAUUCAUUUGCUAACCCUUCAGGCACAUUAUGAUUGCAUUGGCUCUAAAGGUAUUUUAAGAAUAUUAUAUAUUUCUUGACUUGCCAAAUCUAAAAGCCAUUUGGAAUUUAAUUGUUGUGAUUGGACUGAAAUCUGGGAAAGAGUUGUAGUGUUAAGAAAAUGUUGUUCUGACAAGUAAUUAGGAGCAAGAUUCAGGCACUCAAAUGUGAUUUCUUCUUUAUCUUUUUAUUUCUGUGAAUAUUUUCUUAUUUCCAGUCAAGACUUUUCAGAAACUUGUUGCUUUUCAGGUAA
rnacentral:misc_RNA from 1 species